CACAACACGGCCACCAGUGACUGCCCAACCAGAGUGAACCCAGGGCCGCAAGAGCGUACGGCCCCCCACUGCAUCACAACAACAUCCCCUGGCAAGGAGUUCCACAGGUUGACUGCACUGCAUGCUGAAAAACGUGCUUUGGCUUCUUUUAAACCUGCUGCCUGUUCAUUUCAUCGGCUGAACCGUCCUGUCCGGUUAAUCUCUCCACGUGUCGCCCUUCUCCGCAUGGCCCCAUGGAGACCCGCGGAUGUGGCAGCUGCCAGUGUAACCCGGUGCCCCCGGACCUGCAGUAGGGCAAGCCGAGACUGGAGCGCAGCUGCACUGGCCCCAGGCCGGGCCCCGGCUCCCGGACACGCCCUCGAGGGGAGCCGCAGACAGGCAUAUCACCCUCCCCCUCCCCCUUCAAAGCUCUGGGCAGCAUCUGACAGCUGUGAGCUGCUCCGUUUGGGGGACAAUUCACCAGAGUGCUCCUGUUCUGUUGCUGCAGAAGGAGGGCUGGACAGGUGGCUGUGACAUUCCUCAGCACAGAGAGCUCCCGACCUACGAGGGAAUCCCAAGGAGCACCAGGAUCAGCUCUGCCUUCCCAGCACACUGCACAGUGGGGUUGCCCCAAAUUCUGUACCACGUGGGCCAUGCGAGGUGUCAAAUGAAAGCUGAUGCUCUACUGAUUGUGUAUCUGACUCUCACGUACUUGUGUGAUCCCUGUAUGUGGAGCGAUGGGUACGAGCUCUGUGCUUGUGCAGGGAAUUUUCUGUUUGAGACAGAGCAAUGGGCCUGAACUGCAGGCUGUGAGGAAGGCUUGUUCAGUGCCUGGCGGUGCUCACUUGCCCUGCUGCAUGAACAAUGGCUUUCCGAGAGGCCAACACGCACCUGAGGGAUGUGUCUGGAACCCUACAGACCAGUCAGUAUCUAAUGGCAGCUGGCAUGUGAAAUAUGCCAUCAUGUGACCAGCUCCAGUUUGGGAGACACCAGGGAUGGAUAUAAAAUCUCAUGUGGUGGUCUCCAUCUUCAAUUCUGCUACUGAUCCCAGAUGCAGCCUUGCGAGGGACAGAGAGCCGGGAAGGAUUUCUGACCCAGCCUGACACAGGAUGGACACCAGAGACUUCUAAGCCAGCAGUUUGGAACAUCUCUGCUGAGCGCCUGCAUCGAGAACUGGGGGACUGGUGCGUGUGACGGAUUCGCCUUAACAACCUCACUCCACCUUUUCUUUCUUUGGUUAAUAAACCUUUAGAUGGUAGAUUCUGAAGGAUCAGCUCAGUGUGAUUUGUGGGUAAGAUCCAGAGAGUAAAUUGACCUUGGAUCUGUGGCUGGUUUCUUGGGGCCGGAAGAACCCGUUCGGGGGAGGUGAGGUUGGAUUCUAUAUCCCCUCACCUGUGUGUUUGGGGCGCAGGGAGAGCUGGGAUGCCCGAGGGGUUUUGCUCGUGAGGCUGCCUGCUGGCGGAUUGGCAGCUCGAGUUCUCGGUGUGACUGGCAUGUGGCCUGUUUGGGAAGGGUCCCCAGUCUGGGGCAAUUUGCCCUGAGCGGACGCCCUCAGCAGCGCGCAGGCCCGGCCCGGCCCGUCACAGCCCCACGGCACAUUGUAGUGACACCCCACAGCAGGUUCUCACUUGGUGUGCACGACGGACGGACACAUCGGGAGAGAGAAGCGACUUCCUGCGGCUCAGCCUCUUCCCCCCGGGCUCCUGGGCCCUGCUUCAGCCGUACGCUCACUGGCCGACGGGACACACGUGGCACUACCCC